CGGAGGAUGCGAGCGUUAUCCGGAUUUAUUGGGUUUAAAGGGAGCGCAGACGGGUUUUAAGUCAGCUGUGAAAGUUUGGGGCUCAACCUUAAAAUUGCAGUUGAUACUGGAGACCUUGAGUGCAGUUGAGGCAGGCGGAAUUCGUGGUGUAGCGGUGAAAUGCUUAGAUAUCACGAAGAACUCCGAUUGCGAAGGCAGCUUGCUAAAGUGUAACUGACGUUCAUGCUCGAAAGUGUGGUAUCAAACAGGAUU
rnacentral:rRNA from 1 species